UUAAGAUGAAAAGAUGGCGUAUGGGUAUUUGAAAUUAAAAAAUAGUAUCAAUCAAGAUUUGUACAGUAAUAAAUACGUGACAGUGCCCAAAAUAUCGUGUAUAAGAUGACCUAUCGUUAGGAUUUAAACUUUAUCAUGAAAGGAAAUAUCCCUAAGGAGGAGAGGAGCAAUAUUUGAAUUUAGACGAAGAAUGGAAGCGAGCAAAGAAGUUGUCUUCAAUAUUAAAAUCAUUUCCAUGGAUUUCCUCACACUGAAAUGGAUUAUAAGCAGUGGCGGCUCGUGGCUUUAGGGACAGGGUCGGCAAGGUUUUUGUCUCCUCAGAUAGGUAUACCAUCUAAUUGAAAGGCUUCAAUCAUCAUAGAAGAUUUUUGAUUUUUGUUUUUUUUGAAGAUAUUCUUCUUUAGCGGCGAAUCGAUUGAGGGUAAAAUUGUACAUUUACCGCGCGCCUGCGCACACUGACAGUAUGUAGUUCAUUGCUAAUCUUUCAAGAUAGUGCCUCGAUGGAGUAGUUAGAAAUGCGUUGGCACUGAGAUUGGAAGGUUGCGGGUUCAAUUCCGAAAGUGGUAGAAACAAAUAUCAUCAACUCUGGAUUAAAUUAAAUAUUUAGAAAAUCUACAAUGUGUCCAUAAUGUGUGGGUCGGCACUGCCGACCCUGACCGGCCGCCACUGAUUAUAAGGAUUUUUUUGUCCAGGACGAUUUCAAGAACCAAUAAAGAAACCAUGUCAGCCUUUUGUCACUCACAAGAUUUGAUGUAAAUAUAGCAAGGAAUUGCCCCUAAGAAUCUCAGGAAUAUUUGAAUAUAGAUGAAGAAUGGAAGCGAGCAAGAGAGUUUUCUUCAAUAUGAGAAUCAUUUCCCCAGAUUUUUUCACAUUGAAAUGAAGUAUAAGGAAUUUUUCUUCAGGAGAAUUUGAGAACAAAUAAAGAAGCGGUCUAUCUUUUGUCACUUAUGAGAUUUAUGUAAAAAUAGCAAGGUUAGAAGAUUUUGCUGUAUUGAAAUUCAUGGAGGACAUUAGCAAGUUUUACGGAACAUCUUCAUCUUCAGAAGCACUCAAUGCUCAACGAAAUGGAUCACCAACAACUUCUAUGGAACAACUAUAUAGUUGAAAAUUGUAAUAUUGUAUCAUAAAAUGUAGUAUGGAAUAAAAUUCCUUUUUGGUGUA